ACGAAGUUAUGGAAAUGGCCGAUAAAAAUGCAAUGAAAUUUGAUUCAGCAUGAUUUUCAUUCUCAGCGAAAUAAAUGGCGAGGGCAACACAAAAUUCCGAUCUGGAAUUUCACAUCAGGAAUAGUUACCCAUGGUCAAAACUCCCACCUAGCGUCAAACAGUCUUUAGGUAACAAUCAGAGAGAAUGGGAAAGAAACGUGUUUGAAUUUAGUGUUAAGAACCAGCUUCGGCAUCGAGGGAAUUUGGUUCGACAAAUUAGAAAAGAUGAGAAGAAAUAUUAUGAAGACUUGUUGGCAUACAGCAGAGAGCAUCUAAUGCUGUAUCCAUACCACCUGGCAGAUGUGAUUGUCAAAGGACUGAGGAUAACUCCCUUCGGUUAUUACAUUGAGAUGAUGAAGGAUGUCAUGUCAAAGGAAAAGAGUUACGAUUCCUUGCCAAAUUUUGCUGCAGCUGACUGCCUUCGUCUUCUUGGUAUUGGAAGAAAUCAGUACAUAGACUUAAUGAACCAAUGUAGAUCUUCUAGAAAAUUCUUUCGUAAGCGCCCUGUGCGUGAUCUUUUGCCAAUGAAGCCGGUCUCAUUAAAAUUUCUGGAUCCUUGGUGGACUGUUCAUGUUGGUUUUGUUACAGAAGAUGACAUCAAGGCCUGUUCCCAAGAUGAACAUGAUGCUAUCGAUGUGAUCAUUGAUUUAGACAAGAAACACAUGUGUGCUGGGCAAAUGGACAAAAAUAUUGUUCAAAGUCUAUACACAAAAGGAUUGGUUUAUCUAGAUGUUCCUAUUAACGACAGCGAUUGUAUCGUAGUUCCACCUUUGGAGAAUUUCGUUAUGAAUCGUGUCCUUGGUGACUAUUUCGAAACACUGCUAUAUAAGAUAUUCGUUUCCAUCGACGAACAUACAAACGUCGCAGAGCUCGCUAAUGUUCUUCAAAUUGAUCUCCAACUUGUUAAAAAUGCCGUAUCCGUGUAUUGUCGUCUUGGGUUUGCGUUCAGAAAGGAUUAUGAAACGGAGGAAAAGGAACUUCAUCCAUCUUGGGAAAAUAUAAAUCCAGUUUCUCCACGAAGGUCAAACAGUCGCGAGAAUUUACUGGUUGAUAUAAACGGCACAGGAACAUCGUCCGAAACAUCAUCUGUGAGUAACGGCAUGGAUGGUGAGACCUCUCCUGGGCAAUCCAUUUCACCUACCCUAGAUAUGAUAAAUGGUCCUGGAAAGAGGAUAGCAUUUUUAUUUGACUCUGCUUUAACGGCGUUUCUCAUGAUGGGAAACCUUUCUCCGGGUCUGAAGAACCAUGCUGUGACCAUGUUUGAAGUUGGGAAACUAAGCGAUGAAUCUCUAGACAGUCUGAUGUUAGAACUUGAAAAGGUGGGUCGUGAAGCCGAGGACGAAGCCGAAGGCGAAGCAGAGAGAUAUUUUCACCACGCUAUCACACUACGCAAUACAUUAAUCUUCUUACGACAUAAUAGAGAAUUAUUCAAGAAUGAUGAGACAUUGCCGCCGAUGGGACUUGAUAUGCUGCGGUGUGAAAGUUUAAACAGUUUGGACGCAGCAGCUUGCAGUCGGGUUCUUCAGAAGAAUUACAGUGUUCUGCUAUCCAUGGCUCCGUUGAGCAGUGAAAUACGACCAAUUGUUAGCUGUGAUCCACCUCAUAUUGGACCGGCAAUACCAGAGGUCAAUUCAGUUUGGUUCAAAUUAUUUCUAUAUGAAACUACCGGUUCCGGACCUCCAUCGAUGUUAAUUGUAAAAGGAUCACGGCUAAGAAGACUUCCCAAAAUAUUCGAGGGGUUUGAUAGACUGUUGAUAGCGACGUGGGGUCAUGAUCCUACAGCAGUUCCUGUCUCAAACGUGCUCGUAGCUCUCAAUGAUGCUCUUACACAUUCCGCUGUUCUCAUACAGGGUUAUGGUAUGCAUCGUGAAGGGAAAAUACAUCGAAUAUCAUUUCCCUUUCAAACAAAUGACGAAAACAAUGAAAGCGACCUUCCGGGGCACGAUCUCAUCGACCAUCCAGCUGUUCAGGCCCUGUCACGUUCUAUAGACAUGCAAAACACGUGCGGGUACAUCACUUUGCUAAAUCCGCACCUUACAUCACGUACCGAGACAGACGUCGAGGACAACGCAAGCAUGUUUAAAUUCGUUGGCGAUUCUCGUUCCGAGGACCUGAUGCAACUCAACGGCCAGGAUAAUGAAACCGGGCUUGUCUCGGGGACUGAGGAGAGCGAGCAUUGCGAUGAGACGCAGGUGGUAAAGAACGGUGACCGUGUAAAGAAUUUCGAAGACUGGUGCCUACUCGAUAUGCAUUUUGGGCUGCCGUUAUUUGAUGCAAAGUUAAAUCAAGAAAUUAGUUUAAAAAUAUCUAAAGAGAAAUUAUUUCAUAAAGACAAUUUACAGAAGUUAGUUAACUCAAGUCGACGGCUUUCCCUCCGUUUGCUGGAUUUUAUCUCAAACAAUCAGGACAUGGCUCUGGUGCAAGACUCAUUCGAUACAACGUCCAACAACAGUGAAUUUUCCUGUCCAUAUCCAACCCGAAAUCUAACAUUUUACCUGGGCAAAUUAACCAGGACAAAUAGCAGAUGAUACAGGAUAAAUAUUUUACGCUAAAUUAAAUAUAUAGUAACUGUGUACAUACAUAUGCUGUCCAGUUUCCACUCAAGCCUGUCCCAAAAUGCAAACAUAAGCAUUGGCCUAAAAAAGAGGCGUUUUAUUUAGACCAAUCAGCAAGUUUGUUUUUAAUUUUUCAGUUACCCAAUCAGAAUGCAUAAA